CUCCUAGUACGAGAGGACCGGAGUGGACGCAUCACUGGUGUUCGGGUUGUCAUGCCAAUGGCACUGCCCGGUAGCUAAAUGCGGAAGAGAUAAGUGCUGAAAGCAUCUAAGCACGAAACUUGCCCCGAGAUGAGUUCUCCCUGACUCCUUGAGAGUCCUGAAGGAACGUUGAAGACGACGACGUUGAUAGGCCGGAUGUGUAAGCGCAGCGAUGCGUUGAGCUAACCGGUACUAAUGAACCGUGAGGCUUAACCUUACAACGCCGAAGCUGUU
rnacentral:rRNA from 1 species